GACGAGCUGAAGGGAGGGGCUCCCUAACUGAGCAGCCUGCUGCCCCCAGCCGAGUUUGGUGGCAGCAGUGGGAUCCAAAGGAGACGCCUGAUGGCUUCGAGGAUGAGAAACAGUCAUUGGUACCAGCAAAACCUUUGAGUUCUCCAUCUUUUUCACUGUUUCUGAGGGCUGUGGGGAGACUGAGAUCUCAAAAUUAUCAAGAAGCUGAAGCUCCCCAACUCCCGCUUCCUGGCGCCGAAUCCACCAUUCAUCACAGGGACAGACAAACAGAGGACACCUGCAGCUCCCCUAACUCAGCUAAACGCAGGCUGAUGGGAGGACGCCGAACUGCAAAGCCGCAGCUCCCCUCCCCCACCUAAAACCUUGUAAACUGUAAUCGUUAAUUGGCAGCAGUUGCCGUCCACACCCCAAGGCCAAAUUUCUGGUGAUGAGAGAAGAUUGGUUGAUGGAGCCCUAGAUCUCCCGCUGUAGAUAGAGAU